CGCACCUUGCACUCCUUGGUAUUCCGAGGAGUAUGCCUGUUUGAGUGUCAUGAAAUCAUCAACUUCAUAGUUUUGUUACUUUGAAGCUUGGAUUUGGAAGUUGCUGGCAUUGUCGGCUCUUCUUAAAUAUAUUAGCUGCUUGUCCGUGAGUUGGCUCAGAGUGUGAUAAGUAUCUGCACUUGGUGGCUGCUUGCUUUGGAUGUAGCUUCUAAUCGUCUUCGGACAACAUUUUAAGAUCUGACCUCAAAUCAGGUAGGACUACCCGCUGAACUUAA
rnacentral:misc_RNA from 1 species